UCCUACGGGAGGCAGCAGCAAGGAAUAUUGUGCAAUGGGCGAAAGCCUGACACAGCGACGCCGCGUGGGGGAAGAAGGCCUUCGGGUUGUAAACCCCUUUUCUUAGGGAAGAUAAUGACGGUACCUGAGGAAUAAGUCACGGCUAACUACGUGCCAGCAGCCGCGGUAAUACGUAGGUGGCAAGCGUUAUCCGGAUUUACUGGGCGUAAAGAGUGCGUAGGCGGUUCUUCAAGUCGGAUGUGAAAUCUCCCGGCUUAACCGGGAGGGGUCAUUCGAAACUGUUGGACUAGAGGACAGCAGGGGGAGGUGGAAUUCCCGGUGUAGUGGUGAAAUGCGUAGAUAUCGGGAGGAACACCAGUGGCGAAGGCGGCCUCCUGGGCUGUUUCUGACGCUGAGGCUCGAAAGUGUGGGGAGCGAACAGGAUUAGAUACCCUGGUAGUCCACACUGUAAACAAUGGACACUAGGUAUGGGGAGUAUCGACCCUUUCUGUGCCGAAGCUAACGCUUUAAGUGUCCCGC
rnacentral:rRNA from 1 species